AGACACUCCUCCCCCCGGGACAUCCCGGCAUCCGACAAGAAUAAUCAUAUUUUAUUAUAUGAUACAAAAUCAAAGCCUCGACAGACCCUACAUUAAUCAUCAGAUGAAGUCACGAAGCAGAGUUGAGUUCCUCUUGUAUUUUUAAGUGUUCGGCGUUGUUGAAGUAUUUAAAUACAGAAAAAUGGGACGUGGUGAGGUGACAUGUUACCCGCUGAGGACCAAACAAGGUAACAGAGACAACACGGAAAAGAGGACGGGACAGCGAAAUGACCAAGACACAGUGUCAUCAAAGCCUGGUCAUCCGCCAACAAUAACGUUUAACGACGCCGAUCCAUCCCUGGACAACUCCACAUCAUCCCAUCAGGAAUCAGCUGCACCCAAUCAUUGGUUACUUCAGUCACAUCUUUGCCCGUCUCCAGCUUGGUGUUACAUUCCAGAGGCUUCUCAAUCACAUUCCCUGCUUUA